rnacentral:sRNA from 1 species
AGGCUCAGGCCCAAGUCUAUGUGCUACCAAGUAGCAAAACUGAGCCUGGAACUCACACAUGCGUGUCUGAGAGCCCAGCACUAUCGCCAGGAAAACCCAGCCUCUCCCUGCUCAAGCCUGACCCUCAGCCCUCUCUGCCCCUCCCUGCGCUUGCCUUCCAGUCAAGGUGAUUCUGGAUAAAUACUACUUCCUCUGCGGGCAGCCUCUCCACUUCAUCCCGAGGAAGCAGCUGUGUGACGGAGAGCUGGACUGUCCCUUGGGGGAGGACGAGGAGCACUGUGUCAAGAGCUUCCCCGAAGGGCCUGCAGUGGCAGUCCGCCUCUCCAAGGACCGAUCCACACUGCAGGUGCUGGACUCGGCCACAGGGAACUGGUUCUCUGCCUGUUUCGACAACUUCACAGAAGCUCUCGCUGAGACAGCCUGUAGGCAGAUGGGCUACAGCAGCAAACCCACUUUCAGAGCUGUGGAGAUUGGCCCAGACCAGGAUCUGGAUGUUGUUGAAAUCACAGAAAACAGCCAGGAGCUUCACAUGCGGAACUCAAGUGGGCCCUGUCUCUC